rnacentral:rRNA from 1 species
AUUGAACGCUGGCGGCAGGCCUAACACAUGCAAGUCGAACGAGUGGCGGACGGGUGAGUAAUGUAUCGGAACGUGCCUGGUGGAGGGGGAUAACUACUGGAAACUGUGGCUAAUACCGCAUACUAUUGGCUCGGCCGAUAUGGGAUUAGCUAGUAGGGGGGGUAAAGGCUCACCAAGGCCACGAUCCGUAGCUGGUUUGAGAGGAGGACCAGCCACACUGGGACUGAGACACGGCCCAGACUCCUACGGGAGGCAGCAGUGGGGAAUAUUGGACAAUGGGCGAAAGCCUGAUCCAGCCAUGCCGCGUGUAUGAAGAAGGCCUUCGGGUUGUAAAGUACUUUAAGCUGGGAGGCGUUACCAGCAGAAUAAGCACCGGCUAACUACGUGCCAGCAGCCGCGGUAAUAC